CAGCGCCCCCCUCCGCCCCGCCUCCCUCCUAGGUGAAGAAAGAUGAUUUCCCCCCCCAUCUUGACCGCCCCCUGCCUUCGCUGCCAAGCACGGACUCCGCCUGCUCCAGCCGACCCGGUACCAGUGGUUGGAUCCAAGAGAAUUCCGGAACCCAAACGGCUCCAGGGAACUCAGAAGCCUGCUAUGCACAGAGCUAUUGUGGUUGGAUGUGCAUUCUAGAAGAAUCACUCUGGAAGCAGUGUAACAGAUGGAUCUAAGAACUGGACCGCAGAUUCCCCGGAUCCUCUCCUGGUGACAAAACCUAACCCUAGUUGACAAAGGAGCAAUAUGGUUUGCAGCCCCAGCAUUGCGGAACAGAAUAGGGAAAACUGGAUUUGGAGGUGAGAGGCCAGCCCAGCCUUCAAGGGCCUCUGUGAUCUGGCACGG